AUUGUGAGAAAAGAGUACCAGCUGCUUUGUAAACAGGCUUGGACCUCCAGAUGGGUCAUUUAGAGAAUGGAUCUAGAGAAAUACAUGAGCCAGUAAUUAACUCAUCUGGUUUUAUUGUUUCUUGUGUGUUUUGAUUGUUUCUUGUUUGUUUAGAUUGUUUCUU